GGGGGCGACAGGUUUCGACAUAGAGAUUUAUGCAAAAGCUUGCGAGCCGAGGUGGCGUUGGCCUCGUAAAAAAGCGCCAAAAAAAUAACUGCCAACAAUAAUAGCUUAGCUUUAGCAGCUUAAUCUACUCUUCGGAGUAGAUGUAACACUUUGUGUGCUUCCUCUCGGCAUACAAUUUUAAGUUAGAGAGGAAGAAGAAAAGUUUGACCUGGGCUUUUCUUCUAAAUAACAGGUCUUAGCCUUCAAGAACCGUGUCCAGAGCGGGUCAAGAAGGCGAAACUAAAAACUCUGGACUACGCUCGUAGAGGGUUUUUGCAUUGCUUUGUGGACGUGGGUUCGAUUCCCACCGCCUCCACCA
rfam:Thermodesulfobium narugense DSM 14796, complete genome.